GGCGGAGCGAGGAGGAGGGCGGGGCGGGGCGUGACCCGGAAGCCGACGGCGGGUUCCGCCCCUCGCUCGUGGGGAGGCCGGAUAGGAACGGCCCACGGAGCUACCACCGCCCUUCGCGCCCUCCUCGCCGACAUCAUGCUCCAGUUCCUGCUUGGAUUUACUUUCGGCAACCUGGUUGGAAUGUAUCUGGCUCAGAAUUACAACAUACCAAACCUGGCUAAAAAACUUGAAGAAGUUAAAAAGGACUUGGAUACCAAGAAGAAACCCCCUAGUUCCUGAUGCCAGCUCCAGCACUGCGUCCAGGAUCCGCUGAUUCUACUCUUCUCGAGGGCCUCCUUUACCACCUGAACCAAAAGCUUUUGUCUUACCUUCCAGUCUCUGCUAGACCCUGCGUUGCCUUACAGCACAAAUGGGGCCACCAGUUAAGAACUACCCUUACUUUUCUAACAUCCUCUCCUCUUCCUCCUUCCAGCUGCUUGGGAGGUCCUGAGGCUGGAAUUACGGUGCUAGAUUAGUAAACAUGACCUUUAAUUAGCAGUCUCUCCCUUAUUCUUUGGGAUAUCUCCUGCUUUUUUUCGAAAGAAAAACCGAUGAGUUUUAUAUAGCCGAUCAGAUACAAAUAAUGCUGAUUUCGCAGUUUAGCAAUUAUAACAGGUGUUUAAACAUUUGGUACUAAAUUAUGAUGUUUCAAGGUAAUUAAAACUGAAAUCUAGAAGCCAGUUUCUGGUGAAUUAUCCAUUUAUUUUAUACUGUUGUCAGUAUAACUGACAUAACUUCACAGUAAAUCAAUUUGCUACUCAUUAACUGAGAAAUUAUAUCGAGAACCCCGUCAAGAACUGGGGAAUUAAGAAAUAUGUAAAAUAAUGGCCUCUGUCCUCAGAAUUCAUAAUCUAAUAUGUACAGUUUUCCUUAAUGAUGUAUUUGAUUUGGCUCUUUUCCCUCAAAAGAAUCAUACUUAUGUUAAGGAAUUACAGGUGUACUUGACAUUACAUGAUAGAUAAGUGACAAGUUGUCUACAAAGGAAAUUUUAUACCUUUUCACAUUAAAAAAUUAUUUAGAUUAUAACUUUAGUGAUUCUCAUAAGAAAAUUUUUGGGGUUUUUUUUCUGCAAUCAGAAAUUACCAUUGUAAUUUGUCAAAUGUAUAAUCAGUCCAUUUUUUACAAUUAAACAAAAAUGUUUGAAAACAUCACUUUUCCCCAUGAGUCAAGGUAAGAGAGUGAUUUAGAAUGAAGGGCCUCUCCCACCCCUAACUCCUAGUUUCUCUUCCUGGGGGCAGGCAACUGUCACCAUUUUACUUGAGAAAGAUUCUGUGCAUAAACAAAUAUGUGGGCAGGGUUUUUUUUUUUUUUUUUAUACAAGUGAUAACGUAUACAUAGACCCUGCCCCAGUCUUUUUUUCUUUAAUGGAGAUCAUUCCAUAUAAGUAUGUAAGGAGCAAAGGACAUCUUUCCUUUUUUGGCUGCAUAAAAUUCUAUCUACUGAAGAUGCCAUAAUUUAUUUAAUCUAUUACUCAUGAGUGUCAGGUUGUGUCCUGUCUCGUGCUGUUUUAUCCUGGUGUGCGAGACAUUAGAAUCGUAUUGUAAUUUGGCUUCACCUUAGAGGUGUGAUCAUGGGCAAAUGGCUUGUUUUUCUGAAACUUGUAUUCUCUGUAAGAUCGGACGCAAUACCUACCUCAUAGGGCUUCCAUGAGAAAUACCUGACAAUGUAUGUGAUGUGUUGCAUGGCACUUUGCAGAUUUGCCCAAUAAAUAGUAGCCCUUAGUCCAAACAUGCUGCUUUUGGUCAGAAUACUUUUGUUUCUCUGCAGUCAUUUUUGGAACUAGUUUAUGAACCAUGCAAAAUUUGUCAUCAUUUUGUAGUCACUCUCUUGGUUGUUGAUGAAAAGCUGCAGUAUCCGCUUUGAUCAUACCACCUCGCUCACGAGAUUUGAUCUUAAAUGACUGAAUUGUUACUAGGAUGAACUACAGCCUCGAAGGAUAAAGGUUUAUCACCCAUGGUGGCAUUCAGAAUGCGACAAGCUUAGUGUUCCUCUUUAUCCGUUGUGAUACUGUUAUUUGUGUGUAUGGUCUCCCAGAGUGGCUUCUUUGGAGGUGAAGGUCACUUAGAUAUUAGGAGAUCAGAUCUUUUUAUAUUAUUUAUACCUUAUGGACAGAGUUCAUUUGGACUCAGGAGUGACACUUAACCUCAAUGAUAGGCUCAUUUCUACCAGUGGGAGCCAUCCAGGGAACCAGUUCUCGUGUUCACCUUCCCCAGCUAAACUGCCGCACAGUGGACACAAGCUGACUUAGUGGGCACUGUUCAGACACCCUCUCCUUGUCUUAGGUUCUUAUAGCAGUGAAAAGGGGCUCAGAGUUCUCAGGCAGGAUUAUCUCCACUGAGAUAUAGAAGGAACCCAGACCAGCACAGAUUUUAGGGUGAGUAGUGUGGGGGGUUGCAUGCAGCAACUGUCACCUUGGCACUGAGUUAUGUUCUCUGUGUGUUCUUUAGGGACCCUUGCCUUAUAAAACCAGUGGAGGGAUGGGAAGAGCCACCAUGAGACAUGCCUUCUUUUUCCUUUAAGAAACAUUUGAAAACUGUUGAUGUGAUUUAAGCAAACUUAUCACCACAUCUGACCAAGAGAAAGGUUACUCAGAAUACCACCGAAGGUUACUCACACAUGAAAAAUUAACUUCAGGGUGGAUGCUGGGAACCUAAUGAAUACAUUGAACUUGAAAAGCUUAUCCUUAAACCUCCCAAAGGGAGAGAAAAACCAAAACCACCUUAUUUAAAAUCAUCAAAAGGGGCUGGAUUUGAUGUUAUUUUAUGUAUUUUAGUUCCCAAUUGAAGUCUUUAGGUUUUUUCUUCUGAUUUGGUGUUUUAUGUGAAUAAGGAGUUACGUGCUUUUGAUUUAAAGGGACAGCUUUAUUUCUUUUUAUCUAACUCAUUUAAUUUUCAUUUGUGUGACUAUAGAUAAAGUGACGACGUGUGGGUUUUCCAGGUGUCUGCGUUCUGGUCCGUGGAGCAUAGAUUCACACGCACAGUGUUUUCAUUGCCACUAAGCAGUUUGCUCCCUAGACGCUGUGCGGUGUGUGUUUUUCUGCUGAGGCCUCCCGCAUUUUAACGCUUUUUCUGUUACUCCUCCUGAAGGAACACUAUAUACUGUCCUGGAGCAAAUGAAGCUUUUCUUAAACUCCCCGUCUUGGACUUUGCACAUAACAUUUCCAUUCCUUACACAGAUGAAUGAGUUCUUUUUUCCCUACUGACUGUUAGGGCCUUGUGGAAAGGAACAGGGUGGUGAAGGGAAAAUAUUUUGAGAUGUCGCCUGGUCUUAAGAGGGGAGUUUGUGACACAGAUUUUCAAAUGUUCAGUGUAUAACUUUCCUAAAUCUGGCUGCAACGUAUUUUUUCACAAACCGAAGACCUAAUGGACUGCCUGGUUUGUGAGGUACUGGGAAACAGAACAAACAGAAGUGCUUGGGGUUGGCACCGCAGACCCCGAGUCCUGGGCCUGCCUGAACCAUUGCCUCUGCGGUCAGUAAGGCCUUCCGAAGAUGCGUCAUCCACCGUACAAUUGCACAGGAUUGGGACAAGAAAAAUGUGCCACGUAAAUAGUGCAGGCCGUUGUGCUGCAUCCAUUCCCUGAGGGCAGCCCUAGGGAGAGCUGCCUGUGGACUCAGGUGGCCUCUGUUUCCUUUGUGAGCUAGUGGUGUGGACAUCUUUCCAUACCGAGAGUGGUACUAGUGUUUAGAUAAACUUCCUCAAUCAUGGGCCCUAAACCUGAAGCCAACUACUUUAUUUGGUGUCCGACUGGAAAAAAAAAACAAAACACAUCUAGUCUGACACUGAAGGGAAAACUAGCACUUUUUAUUGCAAGGUGGCACAUGAGUCUUUAUGCCGUGUAAAUGCUAUUGUAAAAGGUAUGCACCAUGCGCUUCGCGGGUGACUUAAAGGAACUUCAAAGGCAACUUCGACUAAGCAAAUUUGAUUGAUAAUUGAGAAAAAGACGCAAUUAUACUUAGUGUCUUUGCUUCUCAGUGUCAUCAUCUGUCAGAUGACCUCGUAUAAGAUGAUCAUUUACAGCUUUUGCAUCCAUAUAGUGCUAGAAGGUAAAAGUCAUAAUCUAUUUGCAGGAGGCAUAAGACUACAAAGGGGAGCUGGUAUUGUCCUGCAUGGAGUGGUUUUGGAUGACAAGGGGUUGUUAGUCAUGUCUGAUGUUUCCUGUCACUGCUAUGAGCAGUCUUUUUGGCCUGGGUCUCUGGUUUGGGGAGAGGACAGUGCUGUUCUUUAGAACGGCCGCUAGCCCAGACCGCAGUGAGCGCGCUCUCCGAGUUGGCUGCUGGGGUGCAUCCAGGGAGCAGGGAGCUGCACUGCCUUCCCUUUGGGGUCCACUCAGGUUCUCGAAUAGCUAGACAGUGGCCAGUCACUCUAAGUCAGCUCAAUUCCAAGUCAGCGUUCCUUUUUCUUCAUUUGUUUAUACUCCCGAGGUCAUAACAAUGAUCUGCGCCUUUGUCUCAUCCUCCGACUGAGGGGCUCAGUGUCUCUGUAACGGGUCAGCAUCUGACGAUUUGGCUGCCCUGACAAUGGGAGUAACACUGUGACUUUCUGAACAUUUCAGAGCAAAAUAACUGUAGAGAUGCUGGCUCCGAUCAAACCAGCUAUUUUGUAUCUAAUACUGAUAGUUUAUUUGGGCUCUUUAGUUCAUCACUUUUAUAAGUGGCCAAAUAAUUUGACCUAAGGUAAUUGACAGGGCAGAAGCAUUAAUUUUCAUGGUUAAACCUGGUCAGUCAUGCUGCGGUCAGAGUGUUGACCGUCACAAAAGGAAUUUACAAUUUACAGAUACUUGAUAAACUAAGGGAGUGACUUCAUUGAUAAAUUAUUGUGAGAAGACAGACAGCACAUACUAACAGUAGUAACUUGAAAUCAGUUAAAAACAAUAACUGCGGGAUAUUCUUUUCCCAUAAGCACGUAACUUGUGGAAAUCAGAAUUCUGUAAUGCCAGGAAACGGCAGGAGUUGGGAGCUAUAGUCAGUCAUAUAGAAAAGACAUCUGUAGAGAAAAUGGCAUGGUUUUCAGGAGGAAAAAGGAGGCCUUGAUUUCCAAAGUGAUUUUUCUCAAGGGAAACAUUUAUUGAGCAGUUACAGUUUACUAUAUUGUAUAAGUUGCUGGAGACUUUGAGGGAUAUAAGACAUCUCCUGUCCCCUCAAGGGGCUCUUCUACUUGUAGCAAGAGACUGAUGUGUUUAGACCUUUCUGUACUUGUCUUCUCAGGGACAAACUACUCAUUACAUCCAGAAGAAAGCCAGUCAAAUAUCACUAAUUGCGCUGUGGCCUUAAUUAUAGCUUUGGCCUCCUUAAUAAGAUAGGCAUGAAAUUUUUUCUUUCUCCCAGCACUUAACCGACACCAUGGUAUUGAUGGCUCAUGAUGAGUGUAGAGAGAGAUGCUAAUCGCAACGUCUUCUUUCUCUACUUCCUUUUCCUCUGACAGAGAGAACAGCACCAGCCUUUCCAAAAGGGGAACACCUAUUUCUUUAUAGGAAUUUGGUGCCAAGGUAAAGAGAAGCCACUGAAGAGAAAUACUUAAAAGGGAAUCCAAGUAGCGAUAAAAGAGAACUGAUUGCCACAAACUGCCUUUUCGUGGGGAGAACUUAGGAUAGAAACACUUAAGAGAAAGGAGCUAAUGUGAGGUCUCAAGUUCUGGGUAAGAUUUUCCUCCCAAAGAGAAGAUACCACUGGUUUCACUGUCUGUGCAUAGGUAGGAUAAGUUGGCUUUCUCCUUCAACUCCUAAAAAGGGAUUAAAAAAUUGAGAAUGACAUCAAACCUAGUGAGGCUGGGAGGUUUGUGCGGCUUAGCCUGUGAAGGGCAACCGAGACAAAUUUUCUUCUCUUCCUGUCUUCAGAAGACAGGAGAGACUAGGUAGAAGGAAGUGAGAAAGCGUUAGGUUUUCUUGAGAUAUGGCGCUAAGGAAGGGGGGCCAAGCCUGUGUUUGGUUGUCGGAAGCCUCCCGCACCUCACUUGAGGUGGUAGAUAGCGGAUCUUCUGCUGGGGUUCGGUGCUCCUGUUGGUUUUCCUGGCCCAUAGGUCAGGUUCUGCUGGGCGCUGGCAGCUCCUUUGGUUGGCCGUUUGCCCACUGUGUUAGGCCUGGUCGGUGAUGUUACUGACCUUAGCCCAGGCUGGGAAAGUGUCCAAGUGGAAGAGGCUAACUCCCCAUGUAUUGAUGGCCACCAUCACUAUCACCAGGCCAAUAAUAUUGACCCCCAGGCCAGCUUUCACCUGCAGGACACAAACCAGCACAGCCUAGUCACUCAGGAGGCAGUAGCGCAGAUCCCAGAGCACUCCCCACCAAGUCCCCGCUCCCCCAAGCCUUGCGGUGAUGUGAUCACAGCCCACCUGCUUGGCCCUGAUUUGUUCCGGUCUCUGCCUGGAGUGUUCUCAUGCUGCCUAGGGUGGCACAGGACUGUGGAAGGGCAGGGAGGACUUGGGGUUGCAGCGGGCCCUUAAAAUCCUCUCUACUCAAAGCACCCCCACUUACUGCAGAGGCCUAGUAGGUAUGGCCUCAGGGCACCAGAGAUGUGAAUAAGUCACACUGAAGAAGGAUCCUGCAUAGGGAAGCGCAGUUGAGCAAAAUGACCUGGGUCUCUAAGGCAGGGCCUUCUCAGUGCCUUUAGUGUGCUGACACAUAAGGGACUCGCGGGAGGGGCUGUAGUCUGAAGCCUUUGCCACCAUACCCCCUCCCCCUUUUUUUUCCCUUCAAGAAACAGCUCAUGGAAGUCGUGUGUCUUGGGUUUGUCUGGGGAAAUAGGUCAGCUGCCUCUGCUCAGCCCUUGCCUGGGAAGGUGACACAGGCAUGCUAGCUUUGCUGCUUUAUUCUGAGGGAAUGUCACCUCAUUGAGUCUGACCCCUUCCAUUUCUGGCUCGGCAUGGACACUCUCAGGUGGCAGGGGAGGGACGUGAGGGAUGAUGGCAGAGCCAGGUGGGAAAAUGUACCGCGAGGAUAGCUGGCACCGUGCUAGGGUGCACCCAAGCAUAGUGUGUGGAGCCGGGACGAGUUCACUGCUGGCAUUAAGCUGGGAACGUUGCAAGGGAAAAAUGAAUGCUAGGAAAUUGUUCCAAGCAGAUGACUAGGCGUGUCCCCUCUCUGCUUUGUGGCCUACGCCCAGGACCUGUUAACCACCUGGCCCCGGGCCUUUUGGCAUGGAGAAGCACCCGUGUCCCCUAGCAGGCGAGAGGUGGCAGCUUCUAAAAGAGCUGAAAGGGACCAUGUAGAGCACUUAGUCGGAUCCUCCUCAUUUAGCAGGUAAGGAAAUUGAGAUCUCAAGUCAGGCCCAAGCUGGGGGUAGAACCCAGGACUGGCUCACUUCUUGUCAUCUGGUGCCUUUGCAAAUUACCACCUCGAUCGUUUGCUUCCAGGGUAGGAGGCUGGGGGUGAAUGGUGGGGGCACAGAGAGGAUGCGGGGGGACAGGAGAAUUGGAGCAGGGCUCAAUAUGACCGAGAGUUGUUCAGUAAGUAGAGGGGAGGGGUGGCCCUGAAGAAUUACAGAUGACCUAGGAGGACAGUUUGAACAGUAGAAAGGCUCUGACUCUACCAGCUUGUAGCUCUUUCCUCCAUGUGAUACUUAGUGGGCUGCUGAGAACGAGUUUGGACUCUAGUGAAACAGUUUUUGAGACCCUCAGCGAGGGCGAACGGGCCGAUUCAGACAGUCAGGUCCCAGUAAUUUGUAUCUUUUUUUCACCCUUCCCCAGCCCCCAUCAGCCCUGGAUAUUAAGAAGCAUAGCAGUGAGUAUAGGUUGAGGAGUGGAAGGUGGAUAUGCCCAACACGAAAAUCAGCAGCACAACGUCUCUUCGAAGCCAUCUUUUGUGAGCCCAGGUCUGUUUGCACGGUUUCUCCUACUUCACCUUUUAGGAAUCAGCCAGCAGCUUUUUGAAUGAAUGUCCCCACUGGUCCAGUGAGGAAACUGAAGCAAAGACUGCAAGCUCAUGCCUUCUGGAACUGGGCCACGUCCUGCCUCUGUCGCAGCUUUCUCUGUCCGUGUCCCCACUUUCUCCCAGAUAAGGGUGGGGAGAGCACAUUAUUAUACUGUUCUUGAUGUUUAUGGACCACCCCAAACCUUUUAACUAGUACCAUUCUUUCUGCCACACUAGAUUGAGUGCUGACAAGUCCAGGGACAACCGCUACAAAAUAAUAAACUUUAGGAGAAGGCUGUGGAGCCAGUCGCCCUGUCCUCCUGGCAGCUGGGCCUGGUGGAAAGAGGGCGCCUGUGACUCACCAUGUCUUUGAUCUGGCAGUGCCCGUAACUGAAGACGAUGGCGUUGGGGGGAUUGCCCACGGGCAGCAUCACUGCAAAGGAGAUGCACAUGGUGACUGGGAUCAGGGUGUAGAGUGGGUUAAUGUGCAGCGUUUCGGACUAGAAGAGAGAAUCCACAGAAACAGUGUUGACGUUAGACUUGUUUCCUGUCUUUACUAUCACAAACGUGCUUUAAACGAUGGCUGGGUGUUGGCUAACCUUGGCUGGACGCCUCAUGCUAGGGACAGAUAAAGCACUGCCCUCAAGGGCGUCAGUGCUGGCCAGGCCAGAUGCACCCCCGUGCUACCCACUCCCAUGGAAACGUGGGCUCGGAGUUACGCCUCAGAGGCUUGUUUUAUCUUCAUUUCUAAGGAAGUGCUCUUUAAAUUUUAUUCCUUCGCUGAGAAAUUUUUUCUUCAAACACAGAUCUCAUGAAUGAGCUGCUUUGAUUGCAGUAGAGAUCUGUCAUUCUUGGGGUACAGAACUAAUGGGCUUUUCUUUUUCUAGGUAAAGUACCUGUUAUAUGGAUUCCAUGGGUUCGAACCCAGGGGCUGGCCCUCGAUGUUGCCCAGUUUUAACUGAGUGUGCUCCAUGCUCACACUAACGAGAUGAUGGGAAGAAGGGCUCAGAGGGAGGCAUCCGAACAGCGAGUGGAGAGAGUGGCUGGGGAGUUUGGGGCUAGAAAGAGCAGGAGCAUGUCGUUUUGGUGGAGACAGGGAAGAGCCUUCGUUUCGUAGGUUCCACCUCACAGAAUGGUCGGACGCAGCGUGGUGUCCGGGGCCUUACCUCUGGGGCUGCUUAGCCAGGCUCAGAUCUGGCAGCCGCUUCCCUCCCCUAUUCCAUCACUAACACUGUUCUGAGGUCGCGGAAUGAGGCUGGCCUUGCUCCCCAUUCUCAGAACCUUCUGGACGUCGAAAUUGGGUGGAGGUGAUAGUAGUUAGAGCUGAGGUCUUGGCCACUGAGGCUGAAUCUGCUUCUUCCUGGGAGCAUUUUGCCUUCAUUUUCUAUCAUUAUUUCUCUGGCCUUUAUCUCAGGAGUGCAAGGCCGAUGAUGAUUGUGGGGAACCGGACUCCUAGGGUUUUAAGGUUAUUUUCUUCAUUCUUGUUUCCUUGCAGGGCUGCCUCUAAACGCCUUUUUAGGGAAAGGUUUUCUAGAACCCUUGCUGUGGCUUCUUUAUCUGUUUAUUUACCAGUCGCUAUUUGAAAAACUUAAUUUUUUCAAACUAUGGAUUGAACACCAGUUUGCCGUGAAAAUGACGAGGGGAGAGUAGAGCCGCAGCCGCUGCUCCCCACCACAGCAGACCCCUGGGGCAGCCCGUCUGGACGUCGGGAGCCUGCUCUACUCACCAGGCUGCACAGGAUGGGCAGGAAGAUGGUGAUGGUGGCCGGGUUGCUCACAAACUCUGUGACAAUGGACACCAGGAUGCAUGCCAGCAGGGUGACAGCCCACGGCGGCAGGCUGCUCAGGGACAACAUCUGGUGCCCAAUCCAGGUGGAGAGGCCAGAGCUCUGCAGACCAGGGGGAAACAGUGAGAAGAAAGGAGGAGAAGCACGUUCCCAGUGGAACUCUGAGAGCCAGCAGGUCAGGGGCGCCUGGGAGGAACCCCAGGAGCCGUCUAAAUGUCUCCCUAUUUCCUGGUGGACGCAGCCCAGCGGCAUGCUUGAUUUUUGUGAUGAGAUCAUUUUUCUAGCCCAGAAAAUUGUUUUUUAUGAUUGUACAACAUUCAGUCUCAGGGUUUCCUGGUCAGUCGCUGUCACGGGGAAUGGCGACCUACCUACCCUAAUGGCCACGGGCCUUCCUAGCACUGCUGUGACAGCUCAGCAGGGGUUAAAGAUCUUUGGGGUGGUCAGCUCCUCAACUUCAUUCUCUACUCCUACAGCCUCUGACACACUCUUUAUGCAUCCGAUCAACAGUGCCCUAUACACAGGCUGCCAAGUGUAAUCCUUAACUCUGCUUUUAAAAUCCAUUUCUUUUAUCGCCUGAGAGAGGGGAAAAAACGUUCAACAUCUUAGGAUAGUAACCUUUCCUGUUUUUCAGUGAGCAGGACUGAACAUGAGAAAUUUUGCAUGAGGAAUGAAGGAGAGGGGAUUAUACAUCUGUUUCUAGCCAGUGGGGAAGGUGCCUCCUCUCUGCCCUAGAAGACAGUCAUUCACCGCAUUUCAGGUUCGCAUCCCAUCAGGGCCGACAUCAGGGCUGCGACCUGCCAGUGCUUUUUGAUGACACGACAUAUGAAGGCGUAUUGCCACUCUUAAACAUUUUCCAUUAGCGACAUUUAUACGCAUCUACGCCAAUGAAUGAAUAUUCCCACUUAAAAUAAUUCAUUGGGUUGGAAGCUGUUCAUCUGCCAAUAGCGAGGGUUCUCCCCCUCCCCUAAAAAAUCAAAGUCACCAUUUAGUUUUUGUACUACAAAUUCCCAGGUUGCCAUAUGCAACCUCCUUCCUUCCCUCGCUCCUUCCUUCAUCUCUCUUCCAUAGUCGACAUGCUCUGAUUUUCUUCUCUACCGUAGAGACUGCAAAUGCAAUAAAGGGAUGAGGAGCAGGACAUGAAGCGAGGUGAGACAGUUUAUGAUUCCUCAGGCUGUCAGUCCUGUUCACGCUUUAUUAUGAAAGACAGCCUCGCCACUUCGUCAGCAGCUACUUUUUCUCCAAAUUCCUCAAAAGCUCAUCUGAUCACAGCACCUUGGCCACCUCGUGACAACCUCAUAGGCAACUGAUGGCCAAGGGCCUUCAGAAUUCUCUCUGCCGUAGCCACUUUUACCUUCAAGCACUUUUUUUUUUCCCAACUAACUGAGAGUUGCAAAUCCAAUAUGUGGAGACUACAUCCCUUAAUGGUUGGUACAGAGCCUUGAGGCCUACAGGAGCUCUGUAAUUGUUAUCUCUUGUAACACAUUAAACCGUGGUCCCCGGACAAAGACGGGGGAGGGAAAGCUGUUAGCUGAGUGGAAAUAUUACAUUUUUGAAAGAAAUGGAGUUCUAUUAUCAUGUUACCCAAAUAGCACUUGUAAGUAAAGUGAAAUAAUUUAAUGGCAAUAAUUUUCCAGAAGAACUAUUUUAUACUAUAAUUUGAGGUAAAUUGAUAAAUUAGACUGCAAAGUUAGAAAAAGAACACAAAAAAGGAAGUCUUACUUUUUUAAACACUUGGUGUAGAAACAUUUUACGCUGGAUUUUCCUCACUGCUGUCAAGACUGAAAUUAUUUCAUACCCAGUGGGAAUCACAUAUAUCGUACCUGAAUUAUAUUAUUAGAAUUAGUACAGCAAGGGUCCUGCAGAAAUAUCAACUGUACUAUCUGCCAUACAUGCACCAUUUUGGUUUAAAAGAAAAAAAUCUUGCCAGGCUAGGCUUAGAGGCCAAAACUAACAACUGAAAUUCAAUAAAGGUAAAUAUAAUAUCUUGAACUUGGAAUUAGAAAGAUUGACAGCACAUAUUCAGGACUGGUUGAAGGUCUUGAGGCUUAAUAGUGACUAACAAUUAAAAGAAUGAAGGGUUUUAGUUGCCUGCAGUUGCAUCAUAAAUGUUGACAUGAGUACCAGUGAAGCCUUGAAAAGCUUCCAUAAAAAUCCAAGAUGGAGCUUGGAUCAGAGAGGAGAGAUGGGGCUUGGGUAAUUUAACUGAUCUACUCUGACCACCUCUGGACCAUGUGUGAAUAAGGCCAAGGGCAAGUAGUGAGUCCUGAGGGGAGAACCAGCGUGGUAAGGGGACACUGCUUCUGUGAGGAAUGGCUAAAGGGACUAAGGAGUUUCGGUCAGGAAAAAAAUCUAAGGGGAUUAAUAACUUUUUAAAUUUUAAUAAUUAUUACCUAGGAGAGUUUUCCAGAGAAUAGGGGCAGAACUGUCAGUGGAAGACACAGAAGACCUGAGCUAAGAGUAGGGAACAACUAUUCUUUGUUCCUCGCUCAAGGAGUGUCCUGUCACUGGAGGCGUUCGAGCCAGGGUUGUCACAUUGGGUAGAAGAUGAGACUUGAUGUCCUCCAAGGUUCCUUCCAAGUGUAGAACUGUGACAUCAUUAACAAUGCAGAUACGUCAACCCACAGUGAAUGGGUAGUCAGCAGUGAGCCAAGGUUGGAAUGGGUUAAUGCAUACAGAGUGGACGGAGAAACAGUGUGAGCCUUAACCUGAUUCGUUCUUAAGAUCCUUUUCUACUGCAGAAAGGGUUAGCCUUUCGGGAAGUUGAACUAUUUCCCACUAGCUCCCUUUAAAAGAUCUCAUGCCAGAUUCUCCCAAUCAAGAAAUCAGGGCGCACUUCCAUCAGCUAUAAUGCAGAUUCUCCAAAGGGGCUCAGGACGUGCACAUGGACUGACUGAGGGACAAUUUGUUGUGUGUCACUUGGGGCAUCUCUGGGCCCUGACAGGCACAUCUAUCACAGGCAAAUCCAUAGAUGGAGAUGGCUACAAAAUCCAAAUAACCUAGUUUUUGGCAGCGUGGGCCCGUCAGUGAGGUGUGAAUGCCGUAUGCCAUGACUAUUGCACAGUUGAUCUGUAACUCGGUCUCAGUAGCACCAGCUUGGGUGCUCGGGGAGGACAGGAUGUCUGUUCCUGGCUGACUGCUCCCCUUCCCAGUGACUUCGGUGGACACUCCCCUCUCCUUCAGCUCCUUCGAAUCUUCCUGCUCAGAACCGUAAUGAUUCCACUAGGUAAAGUAGCUGGAAAACUAUUUGGCCCAAUGAGAACAGAAUUCAAGGGUUACCUUGCUGCCCGAAGCCAGAGCAUAGCCUCCUCCCACCAGAAUGACAAUCUCCCAGGGCAUGGUCUUCUGGAAGUCCUUCCACGUGAUGAUGGGCUCCGUCCCCGGCGAGGGCUUCCGGUCCUCCCCUGGGUCACAGGUAGACAGGGAGGUAGAGCCAGAUGAACCAUAAUGGGAGUGAUCUGUAGAGUAGGGGCUGAGCUGCUAUUUGGGGCAGAAUCAGAGGGCCUUGGUCAGGUGCCUUCUGAAAAUUCUGACUCGGGUAUCACGUGACUAGAGCCAGCCCCAGCAUCUCCCCUUGAACCCCUCUCACCAUCCUUCUUUUUCCUAAAGCAAGGCUUCUUCGCUGGAAUCAGGAAGAGGAGGAAGCCGAGGAAGACGGAGACGGUGGCAUCGGUGCGGUAGCCUUUCCUAGCAAGAGAGAAGCAGGCUGGAGGAGGGGGGCAGGAGGCCCCAGGGUAGCGCUGCGUCUCGGCAUGGUCUGAACCCGAGGCCUGCCUGUAGGACCUAGUCGAGAUGGGGCAUCAGUCUGCGCCUUGCCCGUUUUGCCAUGCCAUCCAGUGGUGGAUUUAAUGGGCAAUGGUUAUAGUCCAAAGGCGGGGCCUGGCUAGGGAAAAUGACUUGGUGUGAAUUUAUGGGCCCAUCGACUGGGAUGAGUCCCAGGAGGAGUGAUGAGGAGUUGGCUUAGGUGAAGGAGACUGGAAAAGGGUGGGUCCUCUUUCCUGCGAGGUUCACACCUCCACGUGUGUCUUUUCUCAGACUAGAAGCUGUGCUGGCAGAGCCAGAGGCCUGUGGCCCUGGCCCUCAGGGGAAGAUGUGGGGGAGGGGUGUGGCCGGAGCCAUGUUUGCCUCUUCCCCCACAGGCCUCAGCCACUGCAUGGCCAUGGUCUCUCUACAGUUGAUAUUUUACUUUAGGGACAUUUUCUCCUUUAACUCUCACAACAACGAGACAGCUGAGGUCACAAGAUCUUAAGUGACAAGACCAAGGUCACACAGCUGCAUAAGUGGUAGCGCUGGAUCCCAACCCCUGACCUGGACUCCGAAGACUGUAUUUUCUUCUUGACUGUAUCCUGCAGCUUCCUGAAAAAGAGGAGGCUUCCACAGGAACAAAGUGAUGUCCUGGCUUCAUGUCUGUCCCUGACAGUCUAGGAGGGGACACCAUUGAAAACUGCCGGAGACGUUUCCAGGACGAGGUGGUUUGUUCUUGAGGAGGAGACGAUAUCACUUACUUUUCAAAGAACGAGUCCCAGCCGGGAACGAAGCCAGGCUCCCGCGUGAACCACAGCACCGUCAUCAGGAUGAAGAAAAAUCCGGUCACCAUUUCAGGGUAGCUAUAAAAUAAAACAGACCUGCUCCA